CUAUGGGCAACUGCACCACUCUUCCUCUGCACAGGCACAAAUAAUACAAGUUUAUGGAGGAGGGAGCUCUGCCCACCAGCUCUGGGAGAAUUGCAAACUUUAGAUGAAGCCUGCAGAGCAGAAAUCCAUGUUCAAGCUAUAUAAUGGGAAGUAAUAGUACUGCUCCUCAGGACAGUGCACUCUGGAAAGUCACCUGAAAUGACAGUAUGCUGAAGUAAUAUGUCUCGUAAGGCAGCAGGAUACUUUAAAAUACAUUUCGGAAUCCAAUUUGGAAUUGAAUUCAACAGCUGACUAGACCAAAUCAGACCCCAAAGAUUUUGGAAAAUGAGCUCUUCUUCUAAACAUAUGCAAGCAUGGGAAGAACAUACAAACCCCAUGCAGAAUUUGUCCUCGUUCUAACUCAAACCCAGGACACCAUUAGAAGAACAUACAAACUCCAUGAAGAUGUAUACAGCUGUCUGCUGCUAACAGCAGGCUGCAAAUUCAUUAAUCUGCCGAGUAACAGGUGAAGAACAUGCUGGACAGGAAGACGGUGCGGAUGAAAAUCUGUUCCCGGUAAUUGCCUAUCACAUAUUAACUCCGGCACCAGAGGAGGAACUUUACAGAACAAACAUCUGGAUUGCUUUUAGGGUAAUCUGUUUUUUACCCUUUUGCCUUUCUGGCCUAUCCUUUCCACUUUUAACUGUUUGUAAUUAGAGCAGCUAAUAAUUCUGUUGCUCUUACUGCAUACGAUAUACAACCCUCUCUAGGCAUUAACAUAUUGGAGGUUUAAGGCUUAAAAUCUAGAAAUAAAUUAACCCGCUCAAGGACACCUCUUUCUGUGUCCCCAUCUCAUUUUAGAAGUUUACACUGUUCAUAGCUCUUUUAGUGUAGAAAUCCUAUUUAUAAGGUGGAGCAACACACCAGCUUUGGGGCCCUUGCAAUGCUUAUCCACCCUCUGCCAUC